AUUGAACGCUGGCGGCAUGCCUUACACAUGCAAGUCGAACGGUAACAGGUCUUCGGAUGCUGACGAGUGGCGAACGGGUGAGUAAUACAUCGGAACGUGCCCAGACGUGGGGGAUAACGAGGCGAAAGCUUUGCUAAUACCGCAUACGAUCUAAGGAUGAAAGCAGGGGACCGCAAGGCGUUGCGCGUUUGGAGCGGCCGAUGGCAGAUUAGGUAGUUGGUGGGAUAAAAGCUUACCAAGCCGACGAUCUGUAGCUGGUCUGAGAGGACGACCAGCCACACUGGGACUGAGACACGGCCCAGACUCCUACGGGAGGCAGCAGUGGGGAAUUUUGGACAAUGGGCGAAAGCCUGAUCCAGCAAUGCCGCGUGCAGGAUGAAGGCCUUCGGGUUGUAAACUGCUUUUGUACGGAACGAAAAGGCUCUGGCUAAUACCUGGGGCACAUGACGGUACCGUAAGAAUAAGCACCGGCUAACUACGUG
rnacentral:rRNA from 1 species